rnacentral:rRNA from 1 species
UGGGGAAUAUUGGACAAUGGGCGGAAGCCUGAUCCAGCCAUGCCGCGUGUGUGAAGAAGGCCUUUUGGUUGUAAAGCACUUUAAGCGAGGAGGAGGCUACUUGGAUUAAUACUCUAGGAUAGUGGACGUGACUCGCAGAAUAAGCACCGGCUAACUCUGUGCCAGCAGCCGCGGUAAUACAGAGGGUGCGAGCGUUAAUCGGAUUAACUGGGCGUAAAGCGUGCGUAGGCGGCUUCUUAAGUCGGAUGUGAAAUCCCUGAGCUUAACUUAGGAAUUGCAUUCGAUACUGGGAAGCUAGAGUAUGGGAGAGGAUGGUAGAAUUCCAGGUGUAGCGGUGAAAUGCGUAGAGAUCUGGAGGAAUACCGAUGGCGAAGGCAGCCAUCUGGCCUAAUACUGACGCUGAGGUACGAAAGCAUGGGGAGCAAACAGG